AAACAGCCUCCUUCAAAAUGCAGCUUGACUGUGAUUCAUGGCACAAAGCUGGAAUAACCCUGCCAGUUCUUAGAAGCUUUAAGAUUCAUCGUCUUGAACUUGAUACACAUAGUAUAGCACCUUAAAAACGAAUCAUCUGCUAGUUCAGUAUUUUCUACUUACAAUCACUCCCUCCCAGGGCAUGUAAUUAAUUUACUGAGCUUAAAAAAAAAAUAUCAGGAUUACUCACACAGUCUUGAAGAUGCAAUGUCAGCUAUUUAGGACAGAAACAUCCAAGGCCGUGUCAGAACUCAAUUACGACUACAUAUGCAUUAAGGCAGGAACUGGCAGGCCUCAGGGUACGCCAACUAUAGGACUCGUGCUUCUCGUACGCUGGGCUAUAAUCUAUGAAACUGAGCUCCAGAGCCAGCCAAUCACUUAGCUCCUCAUAACAAGUCUAACUGGCUCUGGAAAGCUGAAAGGGCUGCACUGGAACAACACAGAUGAGAUAUUCUACACAUUAAUCUACUUAUCUGGAAUCACUUUGCCUCUAAAGGCCAGAGAAAAAUCACAGCUUCCUUGUCGGAGGGGAAAAGGACAGGUGAUCUGGGGAAAACGCAGCUACACCUGGAGCAAGGUCUCUUCCCGGCUUGGCAAUCUCAGCUGUGCCGGCGCUACGGGACCCGAGCCGUCCCAGAAACCAAAGGGCAGGCACGGCAGCAAACGCCUGAGCCUGCCUUGUACUUCAUGCAGGUUGAACAGAAAUGUUUUCUGAGCAUGUAUUGUUACAGCCCUCUGAGAUGGUAUAAAAGAAUGAAAGAAGACACGACCUGCCUUCCAGGAGUUUCACAAAAAAGAUGGGAUGAACACAGUGUUCACUUCCACCUUCCACCCUUUCACUAUGAAGGACCCUCACCAGAUGGUGGCACCAUGCUCUCGGACUUCCCAGCCUCCAGAACUGGACGGGUAAAUUGAAGCAAAAAGCAGACAAGUUCUAUGGGAUUUGCUGGCAUUGAUUUCCCAGGAUGGCAAAGUGCUAAGAACUAAACCUUUAAAGCUAACAAAAUGUACUGAUGUCUUUGCAAAGUAUCCAAGACCAACAAGAAAGUAAUUUCCCACCUCACCCUACCACCACCCAGAAAAGGAGCACAGAGAUGGGGAAGAGAGUGGCUGCAUCUGGCAUCCAGCCAGAGGAGUCCGUGCAGGGAUUCUGGAUCCCUCUUCCCCCACCCCACUGCCCUUCCCCCUCCACCCCAGCGUUUUGGAGAAGCAAGAAACUGUGAUGAUGCAGCUCCCUCAAGUAUCACAUGAAGAUAGUGGAAAGAGCCUCCUGAGGUAAAUAUGCCAUGUAGACAGAAACAAGCAAUGGCUCAACAGCAAUGUAUGAGGUCCAAGGACCAGGACCAAAGGGAAAAACAGCCAUCUCACCAGACACCUGCCUACGACCAGAUGCGUCAUCUCCAAUAUUAGCUAACUCCCUGGAACCUGGACUCAAGGUGUGAAAUAAAGGUUAAUGGGAAACCGCAGGAGUCAAAAGGAGGGGGCAGGAUUAUUGAGGAUUCAGGCUGUUGAGAAAUGAAAGUUUGGAUCACUCCCCAGAUAAAGAACCUUGACCAUUUAAGGGCAAUGGAAAUACAGAAUAGGCAGUAGAAGAAGGAAGCCAUAGAUACCAACUAUGGCCUCUCAAUCAAUUACAAAACUGAGAAUUCUGACAGUUUUGUGUAUUUCCUCUUUGCAUGUGAUGUAUAUGUGUGUAUUUGUAUAUAUUAACCAUUUUCCUUUUUCUCUCUUCAUUAUUUUAUGAAAGUUGUUGAAUAUAAACUCUACAAUUUAGCCUUUAGGUAAGAGAAUAUUCAGUGGGACUUUGAUUUGAGGAGUAUUUAAGACAGCCAGAUGAGACUACGAUAACUGUUGGAACUGUGUGUCUCCUCAUUUGGGGAAAGGGGUGAGAACUCUGCAUUUCUCUGAAGAACAGAGUUGACUUUGUGUUAUACAGAGUUCAAAUAUAUAUAUAAAAUGGUGCAUGUGGAAGCUAAGAAGCCAAAGGAGUUCACCAAGACAGUUAUCAAUAUAUUGCCUCUCCGCUCCAAAUCCACCCUUCUUUGCCCUGUUCCACGAUACUAAUCUGGCUCCUCGGUCAGCCAGUGCAAUGUCAUCUGUUGCUGGUAGAGUGUAGGGGAGACACUACAAGGUAUAGUAAAGGGGUCAGAUGCGGUGUCUCAUGCCUGUAAUCACAGCCCUUUGGGAGGCAGAGGCAGGAGGAUCACCUGAGGCCAGGAGUUUGAGACCAGCCUGGACAACAUGGUAAAACCCCAUCUCUACUGAAAAUACAAAAUUAGCACGCACCUGUAAUCCCAGCUACUCGGGAGGCUGAGGCAGGAGAAUCACUUGAACCUGGGAGGUGGAGGUUGCAGUGAGCCAAGAUCGCAUCAUUGCACUCCAGCCAGGGAAAAAAGGCAAAACUCUGUCUCAAAAAAAUAAAUAAAUAAAAUAAAAUAAAACAAGGUAUAGCAAAU
rnacentral:lncRNA from 1 species